AGUGAACGCUGGCGGUAGGCCUAACACAUGCAAGUCGAACGGCAGCACAGUAAGAGCUUGCUCUUACGGGUGGCGAGUGGCGGACGGGUGAGGAAUACAUCGGAAUCUACUUUUUCGUGGGGGAUAUCGUGGGGAAACUGCCGCUAAUACCGCAUACGACCUACGGGUGAAAGCAGGGGAGCUUGGGACCUUGCGCGAUUGAUUGAGCCGAUGUCGGAUUAGCUAGUUGGCGGGGUAAAGGCCCACCAAGGCGACGAUCCGUAGCUGGUCUGAGAGGAUGAUCAGCCACACUGGAACUGAGACACGGUCCAGACUCCUACGGGAGGCAGCAGUGGGGAAUAUUGGACAAUGGGCGCAAGCCUGAUCCAGCCAUACCGCGUGGGUGAAGAAGGCCUUCGGGUUGUAAAGCCCUUUUGUUGGGAAAGAAAAGCAGCAGGUUAAUACCCCGCUGUUCUGACGGUACCCAAAGAAUAAGCACCGGCUAACUUCGUG
rnacentral:rRNA from 1 species